CAGCAAGCUGGAAACUCAGGGAGGAUUUCUCUGUUACAGUGCUGAGGCAGAAUUUCUUUUCCACAAGAAAGCUAUUUUUGCUUUUAUGGACUUCAUCUUAUUGGAUGAGGCCAACCCACAUUAAAGAGGGUAAUCUCUCUUGUUUAAGGUCAACUGAAUGAAAAAGUUAAUCAUAUCUACAAAAUGCCCUCACAGCAACAUCUAGACUAGUGUUUGACUAAACAACUGUGCACCAUAGCUUAGCCCAGUUGACACAUAAAAUCAACCAUCACAGAAAUAUUGAAGCCAAAGAAGAGGAAAGAAUGUGAAAGGAGUACGGGAAAUCUCCUUGCCCUUGUUCCACAAUUAAAGAGAAGUUAGUCAACUGUGGGGUAACUUUUACAGUCACCCUGGAUUGGGACAUUGAAGGGAACUGAUCUGAAUUAUAAUUAAGGUUUUGCUCCAGAAAACACUCAGCCAAGAGCUGUGGACUCAGGAAACCACGCUUCUUCUUUUCAUCAAUCUCAAAGGAACGUUCUCUUUCUGUAAUUGGUGCCGCCCAGAGAAUUCUCCAGUGUGUAUGGACUGCCUCUGGCCAAGGCUUCCCGGCUGCAUGUGAGGGACGGGAACAGGAGUGCUGUGGCUGUGCCUGGACCCACACUCAUUAAUCAUCCUAAUGAAGUAGAGCCAGUCAUCUUUGUCAAAUCAUUGGUCAAUCAACUAACUGCAAAAUAUCAGAACAAGGUCUUGGAUGGAGUUGAUCAUAUUUUGGACUCGAGGUUGGUGGACAAUGAGAACUGCAUAGUUGCUCGCCAUCCUUCAAUUCAGGAUCCACUUAAGCUUCAGGAGAAAGAGGAGAGGAUGCAAGAAGAAUGGAAGAGAAAGAGAAGGACAAGGAAGUGUGGAGAAGUAGCUUUCUUGCCUAUAUGAAUAAGCAAAAUUAAAGAUGCUACAAGAAUUGGAGCCCUGCCUAGCUCCAACCUCAAAUCCUAUCUAAAAUGGUUCCCACCUGCACCCCCAAAUCCUCCACUUUGACUGGAUUACUGAGCCCACUCACCCAUUGCCUGAUCUGGCCAAUAUUGGUUAAAAUCAAGAAUGCUUCAUCCCAAAUAUAAAUUUGUUCAUCCUUUGAAUAAAAUCAUUCUCAUUCAUUAAAUUCAGUCGGUUACGGUAGCCUUCCCAGUGUCUUCAGCUUUCCUUCCCAUGGAUGAUGGUUGCUGGUCUUUAAAAUAACAAUUAAAAGCACUCAGGUCCUGUUAUUUUGGCCCUUAGCAACAGUCAUCCCCUAGUUUCUUUAAGGGUGGGAAAGGCCAGGAAAAGGAGAAGAGAAAGUAGAAACCUGCUGGGCAUUAUUCUAAUCAGCGUUCUCCGUUUGGCAGCCAGCACAGACCAGCUCCUGUUUUGCAGAACAGUUAUCCCCAGGGCACUGGAGAGGAGAAUAGUGAGGCAGAGCAGGUGCUGGGCUUUCCCUGCUCACCAUUCAGGAAGGUUUUCAUUGCUUUGGGCCAGAAAGUCGGUAGGCUACCAGUGGAACUCUGAACUUGUUACAGGGCAUGCUCCAGUAGUAAAGUCAAUGAGCUCGCAGUGCCUCCAGACCAGGCUGAGGGUAGCAAUCUGAGAAAAGGCUCAGGGGGACAAAGUCAUCUUGGUUUGGAGAAUAGAAUGGCUGUUUAGUCAGAGAGCUGGGCUGGGAGAC
ensembl:lncRNA